UACGUAGGGGGGCUAGCGUUGUCCGGAUUUAUUGGGCGUAAAGAGCGUGUAGGCGGCCAGGUAGGUCCGGUGUGAAAACUCGAGGCUUAACCUCGAGAUGUCAUCGGAAACCAUCUGGCUAGAGUCCGGAAGAGGAAAGUGGAAUUCCUGGUGUAGCGGUGAAAUGCGCAGAUAUCAGGAAGAACACCAAUGGCGAAAGCAGCUUCUGGGACGGUACUGACGCUGAGACGCGAAAGCGUGGGGAGCGAACAGG
rnacentral:rRNA from 1 species